GGUGCCGUAGCCAAGUAGUAAGGCAGGGGUCUGCAAAACCCCCAUGCGUGGGUGCGAUUCCCACCGGCACCU
rnacentral:tRNA from 1 species